UCUCCCUCUAUUGCCCAGGCUGGAAUGCAGUGGCGCGAUCAUGGCUCACUGCAGCCUCAGACCCCUGUGCUCAAGUGAUCCUCCCACCUCAACCUCCGGAAUAACUGAGACUACAGGCACAUGCCACUACACCCGGCUAAUUUUUAAAAUUUUUUGUAGGGAUGGGGGUCUCACUAUGUUGCCUGGGGUGGUCUUGAACUUCUGGCCUCAAGAGACCCUACGGCCAAAUAGAUGAAUGAGUAAGAUCUUCAAUAACCACUAUCAGCAAUCAAGAUUACUGAAGAGUCUCUGUCAUGUUCUUCUUACCACCAUCCUUCUGAAAUAUAUAUCGGGUUAUCUCAGUCUAUUUAGUAUUGCUCUGAAGGGAGGCCUGAGACUGGGUAAUUUAGAUAGAGAAACAUGUUUAUUUGGCUUACAAUGCUGGUGUCUGAAAAAGUCCAAGUUUGGGCAUCUGCAUCGGUGAGGGUCUCAGGUUGCUUCCACUCUUGGUGGAAGUUGGAGGGGAGCCAGCGGGUGCAGAAAUCACAUGGAGAGGGAAGAAAAGAGAGAGAGGAAGCGCCAGGCUCUUUUAAACAACCAGUUCUUGCAGGAACUAAUAGAGAACUCACUCACAACCCCCUACAGGGAGGUUAUGAAUCUGUUCAUGAGGGAUCUGCCCCAGGACUCAGCACCUCCCGUUAGACCCCACGUCCAACAUUGGAGAUCAAAUUUCAACUUGAGGCUUGGACAAACAUCCAGACUAUAUCAAGUCUUUGUAUUUAGCUAACACUUUGCUUCCAGAGGCUAAGCCUUUCUCAAGAUCGCCAAACAGCUUACUUUAGGAGAGGUUUUCUUGAAUUUUAGCAUGAGUUUUCCCCUGAGAAUGAACCCUCUGCUGUAGCUAGCGGUCCUUUCUUCUUUCCUCUUCUCACAUUAUCUUUCUCUCUCGCCCUCUUUGGCCUUCUCUUGAUUUCCAGCUGCUCUUUGUCUCAACCCAUUAUUCCAUGAGUGGGGAGACAUUUCCGCUUAUUAAAAUCCCUCCCCCAGAGUUCCCCUAAUCCAGAGGAAUUAUCCAGCUGAGCCAGCCGCCCUGUCUGGGUGCUCAGCCCUCAAAGGGGUCUGUGCAUUUUCUGAGCCUGCUCACCUUCCUAAGUAAAGCUAUGAACUGGAAAUCCUAACCCCAACAGCUAAAGUCUGGAGAGGAAUUUAUUUCCCACAGUUGGUCUUUCCUGGCCAUUUAUCAGGUCAUUCCAAGUCUUGCUUUAGCAAACUGAACCCUCGUGAUUUUUUUUUUACUAAGAUGCCACCACCACGUCAAUGUUUAUAUUUCCUCUGUGUCCUUCUGGGAGGUGGCAGGAGAUAGCAUUAGCUCCAUUUCAAAUCAGAAAGAAACUGGAGGACAUCAAAGUCCCCACAUCAUGUGGUUUAUACAACUCAGAGGCUAAGGAAAGACCUAAAUUUUAAGUGUUCUAUUCAAAGCAUCAUCUUAAAUCAGUAGGCUUCACUGUGUUAUUUGAACCAAUCUAAGCUUUUCCAUUGCCCAUAAGAGGGCUCUUUCCUCAUAUCUGUACUGGGAUUUUCAGCAUAGACCCAUAAACAUGGAGAAGGUCCCCACCACCACCUUUUGCUUUCCUGGUGUUCUUCCAAGCCUGGCUGAAGGCAGAGGCUCCUUUGGCGGCCCGUUUUCAGCACACAGGGGCCUGGGAAUAAGAAAAUGUCCUGUUGCUCUACAGAGGACGCAAACAGUGGAUCAGGAUCCCCAUAGCCUUGCUCCGGUGACUCACCCUUCCUGGUCUGUGGGCGCCUCUGAGUAAGCUUUGUCUUGCUGCUCUGCAGAAGUCUCUGAGAAGGUAUGACUUGCUGAGUUCCUAGGAAAACUGCCUACCCUUAGAAAGUGGAUGUGAGAAGGAAAGCAGCAAGCCGGGAGCAGUCACGCACUGGUGUCCCCAGUGCCCCUGCGGCCCAGGGCGGAGGUGACUGCUGAAGUCAGCCUCCUGGAAUGCCUCCAGGUAACCCUCCCUCCCUAUCAAGGUCAAUGAGUCAGAGGAUAGGAGAGAAGCCGUGAGUAAAACUGCACACCAGGUGAAAGAAAGGGAGGAAAGCCGCAUGGACCCUCCACUCCCAGCAGAGAACAGGGGGUGAGUCACUCAGCUCCGCUCCAGGGCACAGGGCAGGACUCUCGGCUCAAGGCUUCAUCCAGCGAGUCCAGCAUAUUCUCCUCUUCAAACAAAUGGAAACUUUCUGCUGCUCCAUGAUGGGAUCACUCUUUCUGGGCUCCUUGGGAGCAAGUGAGAGGAAGCCCUUACCUGCACCAGCAGCCUCCAUAAGGAAGGGAGCAUCCGAUCAGAGGUGAACAACGGGAGGCAGUGUCUCGCCCCGGCACAUGGGGUCAAUCUACAAAUAUUGAUUCAGAGACAUGAAAAAUGGGAGUUUUGCACGGGAAGCACUUUCCAGAGAUCUCACUCUCCAGUCUUUGCAGAGUCACAUUUUCUCAACAGAAUGGGUUAGAACUAAAAAAAAAAGGUGCUUGCUCAGAAAUGGCACUGAUGGCUCAGCACUUCCAUUUAUUUUAUUUUAUUCCAUUUUGUUUUCUUUGAUCUCACCUUUCCUUUGAGGUACGUCCAAAGAGAAGACUGGCAGCUGAGAGAAGAUGAUGGUGACCCUGAUGGUGGAAUAUGGUUUGUGACCCAAAAACCAGUAGUUUCCACACAGGUGGCACAGCCCUUCCUAAGUGGGCUCCAGGGCCAUGGACCUGAGGCCACAGGCCAAGGUGAGGCUGUGGGGGUCCCACACUGCAGCUGAACAGUGAGGCUGCCUGGAGCCCUGGCAUGGUGCCCAGGGUUCUAAAGCCACUGCUGUGAACAGGGUAGAUCAUCCAGGAGAGCGCCCAGAGGUGGGGAAACAGGCCUGCAGCAGGCGGGGACAUCAGCUGGCCUUGCUGUCCUUUGAUUCUCACAGUUACUGCUUUUUGUUCAAAUGUUACCUUAUUUUUAAUUUUAUUUUUUUAGGGACAGGAUCUCUCCUUGUCGCCCAGGCUGGAGUGUAGUGGCACAAUCUUGGUUCACUGCAGCCUUGAACUCCCAGGCUCAAGAGAUCCCUCCAUCUUGGCCUCCCAAGUGGCUACAACUACAGGCAUGUGCCACCACAAGUGGUUAAGUUUUUUUUUAUUAUUAUGAAUUUUGGUAGAGUUAAGGUCUCGCUAUGUUGCCCAGGCUGGUCUCAAACUCCUGCGCUUGAGCAAUCCUCCUGCCUUGGCCUCCCAAAGUGCUGGGAUAACAGGCAUGAUCUACUGUGCCAGGCGUGUUUUUACAUACUUGGGUCCACACUAUACUCAGCACUCCUCAUUCUACUGGGAGAUGCCAAUUGCACAGUCAGGAAGGGGUGAGUAGAGAGUGGUGGACUUGGCCUCAGCCAUGGUCAAGCCGUGGGGGGUUAGGUGGAGGAGGGCGCCAGCCAGGCAGAAAUAGGUUCUCAGUGUAAGGCCCAGUCAAGUGUCUCAUUCACAGGAGGAAAGCCAUUGAAUUCCGCCUUCCCAUUGCCUCCUCCCACUGUCGCCUCUUAACAACGUGGAGCGAUCUCACUACGCUGGACUUCACCGGCAUCCCAUUGCCCUUUCUUUUCACAUUGGCAAUCUCUCCUCUUGCCAAGUAUCUCUUUAUCUUUCUUCUUCUUUCAUUGAAUCCAGCAUGUAAUUACCGCUGAGCAAGUACCAUGUGCCAAACCCUUUAUUAGGACAGGGGUGCGAAGUCCCAGCCUGCAUGGGCUCCCAAUGGCAUUAGGGAAAUGUCACCGCAUCAUCAGAAGAGUCCAAGAGACAAGUGACGCUCAAUCCAAGAAGAAGAAACAACCGCACAAAGGCUCAGAAUUUGAGAAGCACGCGGCGUUUGGAGAGCCAUGGCAGCUGAGGGUGCCCAGAGCACGCUGAAGCCCAGUCUGCAGGGAUCAUUUAUUUCUACAUCCUCUCACCUGGAUCCUGACUCACUCCUGCUUGUCCUUGAUUUGACCCUGAAGCACCACCCACCCUCCCAUUUUCCCAGAGAAGGGAGGAAAAACCGAAUGAGAUCAGCAGCUACGCGAACGGAGAAACCAACCAUGUCAGGAAUCCUAGCAAAAGUGCUCAACAAAAGCAGGAAGGAUGCAAAAAAAAAAAAAAAAAAAAAAAAAAAAAAAAAGAAAAGAAAAAAAGAAAAAAAAAAUCCUCACACAGGAAGUAGGGAGGCAAAAAGUAGAAAGAGAAAAACAAAUUUAGGUCACCUGUGGAAACUACUAAGUUGUCUAAUGAAACCCAGGAUAUGAGAGCAUGAGUUAGAAAAAGCCGGGAAAAUAAUAAUAGCUAAUAGUUACGUAGUAGUCACUAUAUAAAUAUAUUUCUAAGCAUAAAACAUUUGUUAACUCAUUUAAGCCUCACAGAAGUCCUAUGAGUUGAAUACUAUUAUUAUCCCCGCUUUCCAGAUGGGGAGACUGAGACACAGAGGAGAGAACCUAUAGCUAUAUGCAAUGGGUUAGAAUCAGUAAUCUGGCUGGGCGUGGUGGUUUACGCCUGUAAUCCCAGCACUUUGGGAGGUCAAGGCCAGAGGAUCACCUGAGCCCAAGAGUUGGAGACCAGCCUAGGUAACAGGCAGAUCCUGUCUAUACAAAAAAUAAUUUUAAAAAGCUGGGCACAGUGGCUCGUGCCUGUAAUUCCAGCACUUUGGGAGGCCAAGGCAGGCGGAUCACUUAAGGUCGAGAGUUCGAGAUCAGCGUGACCAACAUGGAGAAAUCCCGUCUCUACUAAAAACACAAAAUUAGCUGGGCCCGGUGGCACAUGCCUGGAAUCCCAGCUUCUCGGGAGGCUGAGGCAGGAGAAUCGCUUGAAACCGGAAGGCAGAUGUUGCGGUGAGCCAAGAUCGUGCCAUUACACUCCAGCCUGGACAAUAAGAGCGAGACUCUGCCUCCAAAAUAAUAAUAAAAUAAAAUUUAAAAGUUAAAAAAUUUAAAGAAAUUAGUUGGUUGUGAUGGUGCAUGCCUUUAGUCUCAGCUACUUGGGAGGCUGAGGAGGGAGUAUGACUUGAGUCUGGGAGAUGGAGGCUGCAGUAAGCCAUGAUUAUGCCACUGCACUACAGCUUAGGUAAAAGAGCAAGACUCCGUCUCAAAAAUAACAAUAAAAAUAAAAAAGAAUUAGUAAUCUGCAUCUAACACCAAUUUACAAUGAAUAAGUAUGUAAGGGGUUUGGGAAUCUUCCCUCUCAUUCUCUUCCUAUAUAACUUUCCUGCUCUUCUCACCAGCCAGCGUUGCAUUAGCUAGAGUAUGUUGACAGUGCUGUCUGAAUACAUCAACUCUGGGACCCAGACGUGGCUUUGGCAAACAGCAGUCUAUUUCCACGAAAACCCAAGUGACUCCCGGGGAAGAAAAAUACACACAUAAGUAAAACUUGUCCCAAGGGGAAAGAGGAGCAGGCCGGCCCAUGUCUUCCAAGACUGAAGAGUCAGUUAUCCGGGAGAAGAAUGGCUGUGUUUGUCUUUCAGAUCUUUCCCUGGUCCAGCCUAGUGGACUCAUGCCUGAAUCUUAUUUUAAAUAGAGUAGGGGCUGGGUGCGGUGGUUCACACCUGUAAUCCCAGCACUUUGGGAGGCUGAGGCAGGUGGAUCACUUAACGUGAGGAGUUCGAGACCAGCCUGGGGAACAUGGUGAAACCCCAUCUCUACUAAAAAUACAAAAAUUAGCCAGGUGUGGUGGUGGGAGCCUAUAAUCCCAGCUACUCAGGAGGCUGAGGUGGCAGAAUGAAUCGCUUGAACCUGGGAGGUGGAAGUUGCAGUGAGCCGAGAUCGUACCACCAUACUCCAGCCUGGGCGAUAGAGGGAGACUCUGUCUCAAAAAAAAAAAAAAAAAAAAAAAAAAAGAGUAGAGGUAAUCAUAUAAUUAAAAGUGAAAAUGCCUGUUUCUCAAAACCUUUGGGUAUAAGCUUUAUACCCAAACUUCUGGACCAGUUUAAUGGAGUACAGCCCUCAAAGGGAGGCAAGAAUUCUCUCCCACUUUUCCAAGGAAUAUUAUGCAGUUCAGCAUCUCCUCCCCAACCCUGAGGUUCCAGUACCUCAGCAUCUGCUGUAUGGGCUCUAGGGUGUCUGCAGUGAAAGCAGCUAAUUGGAGGCAGUGAUGUCAAGCAGGGCCAGAGAGGGUGGCAGGGGCUGCAGCACCAGCAGCCAGGCGAUGCUCAGCCUGAGCAUGGCCAAUGCACCCUGUGUAGCAUCCAGGAGAGGCAGCACAUCCCUACCAGAGCCAUGGUACAAAAUACAAGCCACCUGGGUAUCUGGAAGCGAGGGUGGGGCUUGGUAAUAAUUACUAAAGCAUGCAGCACAGCAACAGCCAAAGAGAAGAAAGGGAAAAAAGUGAAAUAUGUAAUCUUAUUCACAAAUAAAUAUAAGAACAAAUUCCACUGAAUCCCUGAAAACAAAAUGUGGGGCGAGGGCAGUAAACGCAACUGACUACUGUAAAUGCAACCUCACCUUAAAAGAUUACCAACUAGCUAAGCAUGGUGGCCCACGCCUGUAAUUCAAGCACUUGGAGGCUGAGGUGGG
rnacentral:lncRNA from 1 species